GAACAGGGGAUUUGUCCCUUGUAAAAGAGGAACAAGGGAGGUUGUUUUCCCUUUCCACCACCGGAGGACUCAGAGAAGAAGACGCCAUCUACCAAGCAGGGAGCAGGCCCUCCUCACCAGACACUGAAUCUGAAAACACUUGAAUCCUGGACUUCCCAGCCUUCAGAACUGUCAUUUACUCAUUCAGCGUCACUAGUGGGACCUUCACAAGGCAAAUGCGCCAGUGAGUUGCACUCUAACAAGGAUUACCAGUUUUGGGGAGGAAGAUCACAAAGUGACAUUUUUAUCACAGUAAAUCAAUGGCACAUGCUAUCAACAUGAAUAACUAUUG
rnacentral:lncRNA from 1 species